rnacentral:rRNA from 1 species
GAUGAACGCUGGCGGCGUGCCUAAUACAUGCAAGUCGAGCGAACAGACGAGGAGCUUGCUCCUCUGACGUUAGCGGCGGACGGGUGAGUAACACGUGGAUAACCUACCUAUAAGACUGGGAUAACUUCGGGAAACCGGAGCUAAUACCGGAUAAUAUAUUGAACCGCAUGGUUCAAUAGUGAAAGACGGUUUUGCUGUCACUUAUAGAUGGAUCCGCGCCGCAUUAGCUAGUUGGUAAGGUAACGGCUUACCAAGGCAACGAUGCGUAGCCGACCUGAGAGGGUGAUCGGCCACAAUGGAACUGAGAAACGGUCAAGACUCCUACGGGAGGCAGCAGUAGGGAAUCUUCCGCAAUGGGCGAAAGCUUGACGGAGCAACGCCGCGUGAGUGAUGAAGGUCUUCGGAUCGUAAAACUCUGUUAUUAGGGAAGAACAAAUGUGUAAGUAACUAUGCACGUCUUGACGGUACCUAAUCAGAAAGCCACGGCUAACUACGUG